rnacentral:lncRNA from 1 species
GGUUUAGGAGGCUGUACAGAGUCUGCUUAUUUCCAACUUUAGUCAACUACAUGUGGUUUUCACUACUAUUGUGACUGGAAGAAUGCCAGCGUUCACAAAUAGUGGUAUUUGAUAUUGAGUUAUAGUGGUGGCUUUAUAUUAAUAAUGGCAGUAAUAAGCUGGGCAGUGGUGUCGCACGCCUUUAAUCCCAGCACUUGGGAGGCAGAGGCAGGCGGAUUUCUGAGUUCAAGGCCAGCCUGGUCUACAAAGUGAGUUCCAGGACAGCCAGGGCUACACAGAGAAACCCUGUCUUGAAACAAAAACAAUAAUAACAACAAUAGUAAUAAUAAUGGCAGUAAUAAAGUUAAUAUCCCCUAAAAUAGAUGAUACACCAGCUAAAUGUAAGGAGAAAAUUGUCAGAUCUACUGCUGUUCUUGCAUGGGCUAAAUUACCAGCUAGGAGUGGGUAUAGAGUUCAUCCUGUUCCUGCUCCUACUAACGAUGCUGGGAAAAGAAGGAAUGAGGGAGGGAGAAGUCAAAAACUUACAGUAUUUAUUCGUGGAAAUGCUGUAUUAGGGGCUGUAUUUGGUAUUUGGUAUUGAAACAAGCCAGUUUCCAAAGCCCCCAACCAUUAUUGGUAUUACUAUGAAGAGAAUUAUACCAAAUGUGUGGGUGGUUACAAUGACAUUAUACAUUUGGUCAUCACCCAUUAGUGGGCCUCACUGUCCUAAUCCAGCGUGGAUUAGGAUGCUUAGUGCUGGUCCCACUAUUCCUGCUCGGUAUUGAAUAGGACAUAGAGAGUUCCAAUAUCUUUAGAGUUGGUUGAGUAAGCAUUAGACUGUAAAUCUAAACACAGAAAUUAAGCCCUCUUUUUAUCAAGCCUUAAGAUGAUAAUCAUGAUGAAUUGCAAAUUUGAAGUUGUAGAGAAAUUACUAAGGCUUCUCCCACCCCCUUUCUGAUAGGUAGGAGUAGAUGGAAGCCAGAAGUAGGGUAUUUAGCUGUUAAUUACAUUUUCGUAGGUUUGAUUCCUGCCAAUCUAGUUAAGGUCUUAGCUUAAUUAAAGUGAUUGAUUUACAUUCAGUAGAUGUAGGAUAUAGUCUUAUCAGAAGUUAAACUUGUUCGUUUUCUUGGACUUCGAUAUCCUAAACUUCUACAUGAUUAGUUGGGAUGAAAGGGGGAGGGCAACUGUACUUAUAAUUUUUAGGGAGGGAAAAUAAAGUUGUGUUUGAAGUUUAUGUGGUGGGUAAUUAUUUUGGGGUUAUUGUUGGUUGGAAAGAUGGUAAGUAAAAUUUAAUAAAUGAGACAUAUAUAAAAGAAUAGAUGUAACACUGCUAUUGAGGCUAUUAGCGUUCCUAGGAUGAGGCAGUUAUUUUGUAGAAGUUCUGUGAUGAUACUUCAUUUUGGGAGAAAGCCUAGAAGAGGGGGAUGCCUCUCCUAGGGAUAGCAGAAUUAAAGAGGUUGUUAAUAGAAUUAUUGGUAUUUUGUUUCAUAGGAAUGAAAUUGAGUUAAUUGUUGUGGAUGAAGGCUAUAAGUGGAAUAAAUAUUGGAACUGUAAGGAUAAUAUAAAUAAUUAAGUUAAGUUAGGGUGGGGUUGUAAAUGAGGAUGGCCAUUAUUCAUCCUGUGUGGGUAAUUGGUGAAUAUGCUAUAAUUUUUCACAUUUGUGUAUGCUUAAGUCCACCUCAUGUUCCUAUGAGAAUUGCUUGGUUAGUUUCUGCUAAGGUGGAAAUAAGUCUUAUUAUAGCUAUGGCUCAGGCUGGUGUAAUAAGUCAUAUGUGUUCUUGGGUGGCGAUGAGUAUAGGAAAAAUGAGCCGCUUAUUAGGAGGAUUGAAAGUAGAAUAAUGGCUAUUGUUAUUUCUUACGAGAUUGUUUGGACUAUAAUUCGAAGGGCUCCAGGUAGGGAGUAUUUUGAGUUUGAUGCUCAUCCAGAUCAUGAGAUGAAAUAUACUGAAAGGCUUGAUGUUGCUAGAAUAAAUAAAAUUCCUAGAUUUAAAUUGAUUAGGGGUGUACUGUGGGUAAUUGAAUUCAUAGACUUAGGGCUAAUGUCAAUGACAGGGUUGGGGCAAUAAUAAAUAAUGAUACUGAGGUCGUUAGGGGGAGUAUCAGUUCUUUUAUGAAAAGUUUAUUUUAAAGAUUUAUUUUUUAUUUUAUGUAUAUGAGUACACUGUAGCUGUACAGAUAGUUGUGAGCCAUCAUGUGGUUGCUGGGAAUUGAACUCAGGACCUCUGCUCUGCUCUCUCUGGGCCAAAGAUUUAUUUAUUGUUAUAUGUAAGUACAUUGUAGCUGUCUUCAGAUACUCCAGAAGAGGGCAUCCGAUCUCAUUAUGGAUGGUUGUGAGCCACCAUGUUGUUUCUGGGAUUUGAAAUCAGGACCUUCAGAAGAGCAGUCAGUGCUCUUAACUGCUGAGUCAUCUCUCCAGCCCUUAUGAAAAGUUUUAUAGCAUCUGCAGAUGGUUGGAGAAUUCCAAAAUGGCCCAACAAUGUUGGGAACUUUUCGUAAUUGUAUAUACUCUAUGAUUUUACAUUCUAAAAGUAGAAUGUAAAAAUAGCAAUUAGAAUGGGGACUAGAAAUGUUAAUACAUUAAUAAAAUGCAUCUGAACUUCUGGG